UACGUAGGGUGCGAGCGUUGUCCGGAAUUAUUGGGCGUAAAGAGCGUGUAGGCGGCCAGGUAGGUCUGCUGUGAAAACUCGAGGCUCAACCUCGAGACGUCGGCGGAAACCAUCUGGCUAGAGUCCGGAAGAGGAGAGUGGAAUUCCCGGUGUAGCGGUGAAAUGCGCAGAUAUCGGGAAGAACACCCGUGGCGAAGGCGGUUCUCUGGGACGGUACUGACGCUGAGACGCGAAAGCGUGGGGAGCGAACAGG
rnacentral:rRNA from 1 species